CGGCGGCGUGGUCUUCAACAGAGUCGAGGGCCUCGCUACACGGGGCGAGGCGGGCCGGGCCAAGUGGAGCAGGCUAGGAGGAGUUUGGUGGCUUCUUUCCAUUUCUAAGGAGGAGGCCCUAAAGGUGUUGUCCAGUGACUUCAGUGUGGAGCCUGAGCUGAUGCCCAAAACGCCAUCUCAGAGGGACCGCCGGAGAAAGAAAUAGUUUUCCUCCAUGCAGGAUAAGAACAAGCCCCCAACCAGGAAAAGGUUGUCCCACUGUGAGAGACUAAGGAGUCGUUGACACAACCACCAGCUACUUCAGAGCAAAGAUAAGCCAGAGAAGCUGGUUCUGGUGGCAGCUGACAAUAGCUCCGUCCCUCGUCGGACUCUAACCCAAGCAGCAGCAGCCU
rnacentral:lncRNA from 1 species